UGAAGAGAUUCUUUUAAGCUAUCAGCAUACUAAAUAUCACUAAGAUUUACACAUAAAUGAGGCACUACAGAUGCAGAUAAGAGGUGCUGAGAAGGCUAAAUGAACAGCUUGAGGUGCAAAGACUCCUACAGCUUUGGAUAGAGGAUCAAGGAAAAUACCUGUUGGCAGUGCAAGAGAAAGCUCAGAAAACAUUUGGUAGACAGAACUUGGGAAUAGUAGGACUUGAACCUUAAAAUCAGUAUCCAUGUGUAUGAAGAAGAGGCUUUUGAUUC